CAACCUCAACUCAUAUGGGACUACCCCCUGAAUUUAAGCAUAUUAAUUAGGGGAGGAAAAGAAACUAACAAGGAUUUUCUUAGUAGCGGCGAGCGAAAAGAAAUCAGUUCAGCACUAAGUCACUUUGUCUAUAUGGCAAAUGUGAGAUGCAGUGUACGGAACAUCAACAUUCUAGUAUGAGAAGUUAACGAUUUAAGUCCUUCUUAAAUGAGGCCAUUUACCCAUAGAGGGUGCCAGGCCCGUAUAACGUUAAUGAUUACUAGAUGGUGUUUUCAAAGAGUCGUGUUGCUUGAUAGUGCAGCACUAAGUGGGUGGGUAACUCCAUCUAAAACUAAAUAUAACCAUGAGACCGAUAGUAAACAAGUACCGGGAGGGAAAGUUGAAAAGAACUCUGAAUAGAGAGUUAAAUAGUACGUGAAACUGCUUAGAGGUUAAGCCCGAUGAACCUGAAUAUCCGUUAUGGAAAAUUCAUCAUUAGAAUUGUAAUAUUUUAAACAAUAUUAUAAUAAUAGUGUGCAUUUUUUCCAUAUAAGGACAUUGUAAUCUAUUAGCAUAAAUAUUUAUCAUAAAAUUAUGUCUGAUUGCUUAUUUGAAUUAUAUGCUUGGCAUUUUAACAUAAAAUAAAAGAUAUAAAUUUGAUAAAGUGCUGAUAGAUUUAUAUGAUUACAGUGCGUUAAUUUUUCGGAAUUAUAUAAUGGCAUAAUUAUCAUUGAUAUUUGUGUUUAUUAUAUGCAUUUGUAUGAUUAACAAUGCGAAAGAUUCAGGAUACCUUCGGGA
rnacentral:ncRNA from 1 species